UACAGAGGGGGCUAGCGUUAUUCGGAAUUAUUGGGCGUAAAGGGCGCGUAGGCGGCCAUGCGUGUCUUCCGUGAAAUCCCUCGGCUUAACUGAGGACGUGCGGAAGAAACUGCAAGGCUCGAGUCCGGGAGAGGGGGGUGGAAUUCCCAGUGUAGCGGUGAAAUGCGUAGAUAUUGGGAGGAACACCGGUGGCGAAGGCGACCCCCUGGGCCGGAACUGACGCUGAGGCGCGAAAGCGUGGGUAGCAAACGGG
rnacentral:rRNA from 1 species